GCCACCAAAAUUGAACAUGGAAUAAAAUAUUCUAAAUAAUGGCAACAUUUGAAAGCAUAAAUCAAAUAUGCAUAACCUACUGAAUUUUGUUCUCUGAAUAGAAGGAAGAACAAUUUUUGGCAUUACAGAAAGUGAAACAUAACAAAUUAUAUUAGUUGAUGGAAAUGUGACAAUUGAUUUUUAAAUAUUAGAGAGAUAACUGACAAUAAUAUGAAAGAUCUAAUUGGGUAAGUGAUAAAUUGGUGGCAGAAGAGCCAGUUUGCUGCCUAUGAGGAUGUACUAGAUGAUUAAAUUUGAUGGCUAGAGACCAGAAAAUUAGAGAAGGCAUCCCAAAAUCUUGGAAAAACUAAAUCAAAGAACAAAUCCAUGCUGUCACAGCAAUUCUUUAUAACUAUAUGAAGCUCCCU
rnacentral:lncRNA from 1 species